AAUAGCAAAGUUCUUGAAACCUUUUUAUGAAGUGUGCACUCUUUUUUCUGAAAGUAAAUACCCAACUUCUAACUUGUAUUUUGGUGGAGUUUGGAAGAUACAAAAAUGCAUAAAGGAGGAGAUGACAAGUGAAGAUGAAGACAUAAAAUCCAUGGCAAGUGAUAUGAAGAAAAAGUUUAAUAAAUAUUGGAAGUGUUAUAGCAAGAUUUUGUCCUUUGCAUGCAUCUUAGACCCCCGUUAUAAGGUGAAGUAUGUGGAGUUUUGUUUUCAAAAAGUGGGUAUUGGUUCUAUUCAUGUGGUGAUCAUCUUGGAUAAGCUAAAGCUUCUUUACAAAGAAUAUGAGAGAGCAUCAAAUGAUAUAUGCAUGACCAGUAGUAGUUCGGAAGAGGCGUUUGGAGAUGUUCGUGAUGAUGAGAUGCUUGAGUUUGAACAGUUUGAGAGCCAACUAGUUUCAGUCAGUAGGACUAAGUCUGAAUUAGAAGAGUAUUUAGAUGAAAAGAUGUUUUCUUGGAAGAAAAAUGAGAACCUGAAUGUUCUUGAAUAUUGGAAAGUAGAAUCUAAGAAGCGUCCUCAAUUAUCCAUGAUGGCUCUUGAUAUACUUAGUAUCCCUGUUACUUCAGUGGCCUUUGAAUCUUCUUUUAGCAUAGUUGGUCGUGUGCUUGAUAAGUAUCACAAUCGUCUUCUUCCAGAAAAUGCCGAAGCUCAAAUAUUCCUUGGUUCUUGGUUAGAUGGGGUUCCUUGUAAGUUGCUUACUUUUUCUUGUUACCUUCUAUAAAUUUAUGGUGUACAUGUGUUAUAUUAGACUAGCAUAGUUGUAUCUUAUGAUCUAAAUGCAGCUUUGGUAGAUAUUGAAGAAGGACUUUUGUUGGUGCAUGAUUUUAGUGAUAUUCUAAAUUUUGAAUCUGAAGGUGAAACCUAGAUGUGUAUUUUCUUUGAGGUAAUUUGGAUAGCCAUGAUAAAUACAGUUGCAUAGGAGCACAACAGUACAAUAUUACUAGCUUUUUUCAGUUCGAGGGAAAUUCUAUACAUAAGGUUCUCUAUGUGAAACGGGUAAGCGUGACAUGCACUCCAUAAAGAUAUCACAAUAACUUUAUUAUCAAGCAUUUUGUAGUUAUUCUUUAGUUUUUGCCUAUUGGACAGAGAUUCUUAUCUUAGGUUAUUAGGACAAUUGACUAUGUCUACUAAAAAGGAAUACUAAUCUGAUGCUUAACAAAUCAGAAACUCUGAGACUCGCUUAUGAUAUACUUUCUUUCUUAAUGUAGGUUGGCUAUGAACCUUACUCGAGCUUGGAGAUUGACUGAUCUUCGUGGGAAAACAGACCAUUUGGGUGAUGUGGUGUAUGUGGAAUUGCCUGAUGUUGGAACAACCGUAACAAAGGGAAAUAAUUUUGGUGCAUUUGAGAGUGUCAAGGCUACAAGCGAUGCCUAUUCUCCUGUUUCUGGAGAGAUUGUUGGAGUGGUUUAUGUCCAGGAAUUUAGGUUCUGUAACUCUUCUUCAAGCUGAUAUGAAAGCCAAGCAGAAACAAGUAGAAACUGCUCUAUUUAGCCUUCUUGGUCUUCUAUAUAUAAUGUCAUAUAUGAAAGGACAUAUGUUUUCUAUUCAUAAUAACAACAAAGUUUUUAUUA